CUUGUCAGCAUUGCAUAACCACUGCCAAGUUAAAUCAAAAUAAAUAAGGUUAGCUGAGCAAGACAUUCAAUAAAGUGCCAUGUAAUUUGACAAUUAAACCAAAAUGUUUAUGAACAAGGCUGCUGUACUAAACACUCCAAAACAAUGGGAAGUUUCCUGCAUAAUAAUGAAUUAGAUAUCUGGAUAUGCACCCACAUCAAAUAUUGGAACAUUAGUUGAUGUAACAUACACAAUAACUUAAUACCCUUUCAUCCUCCCGUCCAAUGCAACUUCCUCGUCCAAUUUCAAAAACACUAAAUAGCCUACUGUAGAUGUGUUUAAAAAUUGACAUCAUCAAUCCUGGGCCAUUUCUUUACCUUGAUUUAUAUAUUUUUAACAAAGUAAAGCUUUUGAAAGAAAAGGAAAAAGAAGAAGUACAGAUUCAUCAAAUGCAAGCUUCAUCACUGUGGUCUUAGCUCAAAUAGUAAACGGGUAGAGGGUGGAAAGGCAGGUAUACAUUAUUAGCAUCAAAUCAACCGCCAUCUAUAAUCUAUAAAACAAAAAGGCACUAAAUUUGCCUACUAACAAUUUUCAACAAACAAACAGUAUAGCCAUGUGCUUGAAAAUAUGAAAAUACAUGGAUUUGUGGGUCCUCUUUCAAUGGUCAUUCCUAUUCUAUAGUGUAGUCCCUCUCCCUAAAAGGUGUACUGCUAUAAGUAGUCAAGUCAACAGAAACCCAUAUUAUGCUAUCAUGAAAGUGGAACUCAGUAGUCAGAAUGCAUCAUAACCACAACUGUAUGUAAUCAAAACUACAAAGCAUAAAUUAGCUUGCUUUCUUUAUUAGAUCUUUGCUGCAUACAGUGAUGAACUAACUGAUUUAUACAACAGGCUGAAAUAUUUACCUACAAGCUACAUGUAACGGAAAAAGAGGCCACAGAGAGCCUCAAAUAUGAUUGAAAAAAAAAAAGUGAAAUAUGAUUUAGGAAUUUUAUUUAUAAAAACGGAGAUGGAGUGGUACUGCCCCAAAGUGAUCACUUUACAUAUCUCGCUCAAUCCUUCAAGUAGAUGGAGGAUGUGAGGAGGAUGUUAGUCAU
rnacentral:misc_RNA from 1 species